rnacentral:rRNA from 1 species
AUUGAACGCUGGCGGCAGGCCUAACACAUGCAAGUCGAACGAGUGGCGGACGGGUGAGUAAUUUCUGGGAACCUGCCCGAUGGAGGGGGAUAACUACUGGAAACGGUAGCUACUCCCGCAUACCCUCGUCUGUGCCCAGAGGGGAUUAGCUAGGAGGUGGGGUAACGGCUCACCUAGGCGACGAUCCCUAGCUGGUCUGAGAGGAUGACCAGCCACACUGGAACUGAGACACGGUCCAGACUCCUACGGGAGGCAGCAGUGGGGAAUAUUGCACAAUGGGCGCAAGCCUGAUGCAGCCAUGCCGCGUGUAUGAAGAAGGCCUUCGGGUUGUAAAGUACUUUCAGCGAGGAGGCGUUACUCGCAGAAGAAGCAUCGGCUAACUCCGUGCCAGCAGCCGCGGUAAUUC